GGGGACGAAAGGGCUCGACAGGGAUUGGCGGAUCUGAGUUGCAGGCGGAGGACGGCCAUCUCCCUCCUUAAUCCGGUGGUCAACCAAUAAACGGCGAACCACAACUCGCCCUCGCUGCUUAGGCAGUGACGUUCACUCCCGUCCCACCCCGGCGGACGGGAGAUGAGCGACGAUCAGCCGGGGUGCUGCGCACCUGACGCCGAUGGGGUGCGCCCAAGAUCAUCUGGCUGGCCCCGUCCGGACGGGCCCGCAGCGGACGGCGGGGCGAGACCUAACUGCCGGGAUACGCCUGUAGCAGACUCAGGGCGUCGACCGCCUGGACGGGGAGUUCGAUUCUCCCCCGUCUCCACCA
rnacentral:tmRNA from 1 species